rnacentral:lncRNA from 1 species
CUGCAGACGCCGAGGCCUGGAGUCCCUGAGCAUCGAGCCUCCCCGGGGAGCAAAUGCACUCGGCACUCGUGAGGUCCACCGCCAACUCCAUAACAGCGCUCCUAGGGAAAGAGCAGCGCCGGGCGUGUCACUUUUUACACAAGGGCUGUUUAGCUACGUGCUGUAUCAGACACAGGGGACCCCUCCCUGCCUGGGGGCUUUAAAUGCCACGCGCUGAGGCCAGCCCUUCCUGACGUGUCAGCCACUGCCCCCCAGUGUCUGUGGGACCCUGAGGGCCCCUCGGCCUUCCGCUCCGGGGAGCACCUGAAGUGCCUCAAUUUACUCACUAUCUGCCCGUCAGCCACAGCCACACCCUAGGUCGUGGAGAGGGUGUGGUCUGCACCUGCCCGUCAGCCACAGACACGCCCCAGGUCGUGGAGAGGGUGAGGUCUGCACCUGCCCGUCAGCCACAGACACGCCCCAGGUCGUGGAGAGGGUGUGGUCUGCACCUGCCCGUCAGCCACAGCCUCGUCCCUACUUGAUUUUCGUUGGUGUUGCUUAUGAGGUGCACCUUGAUUCCAGAAAUGUCAAAGCAGCAAAGCCGUGGUUGAAAAGCAGGCAGAAGCCUGUGCCGCGUGGGAGGCUCUGCAGCGCCCGCCCCACACCUGGCGUUCCAGCCACCUACCGACCAGAGAUCUGAAGCGUGCGCGUUCUCUCUUCCUCACCGUGGCCGGGGUCCUGUUCUGUGCGCGGAUCAGCUGCUGGUGUCUGCGGGAACACCGGCCCCCGGGCCACUGCGGAGCAGAACGGAUGCUCGUCCUGGCAUCUCCCCGUUUUUGUCUCUUGCCGACUUGUUCGGAAAAUUCAGUCCUGCCGUCUGG